AGGAAAGAGAAGUCUGGCCCUGGGACCGCAAAUCACAGACUGUGAUGACAAGAGGGGGCCUAAUAAAACUCAGCACCCUUCGCUUUUAAAUGAAACAAGGGCAGGAGGGCAUGAUUUAUUGCCUGAAGACUUCAUGAGGCAAGUGACUUGUUUUGAUGGAUACAGACAGCCAUAGAACUAAGGUCUUCCAAGAUUCAGACCAGCAGCAAGGUGACCUAGUGACAUAAGGCUGCUAGACCAAGAUUCAGGACACCUGGGUUCUCUUCCAAUUGCUGUCACUGCCCCACUAAGUUACCUUGAGCAGCUUCAGGAGUGCCCCAGGUCUUCACUUGCACUGACAGUGUCUUGUGGAUGUCUGCAGUGUCACUGCCUUCCAGUGAUUCUUCUCUGGAUGGGACAGAGCAAGUGCCUCUCCAAGAAGAGCAGUCAAGUCUUGAAGAGGGUAAGGGGGAAUGCCACAGAGUAGCAAGUAAGGGGCAAGGCUGCUACACUACAUAUGGGCCCUCGCUAUUGCCUGUACCAAGAGGUGUUCUCACUACCCAUCUGCAAUUAAUGGGUUCCAGGAUGACUCUAUAGCAAUGAAGAGCUAACAGGAAGAAAUACUGGCUGAUCCAGGUGUGGGACAGGAGUGGGAGGACUGUAAGAGGUGAGGCAGGUAGGAAUACAUCAAUAGGGACCUUAAAGCUAACAGCUUCAUUGAAAUGUGAAACCACUCUGGUUUCAAGGAAAAUUACUUACUGAACCUCAGGAUGCCAAUUUGUUUAAAAAAUGCUGUGUGCCAGCAGGAAACUGGUACUUUAAAAGAAAACUGAAGUUAUGCUGAUGCCAUUUCCUGAUGUAUAUAGUCCUUAUGUCUUUCCCACUUCUCAUGAUAAGGGGGUCAUCUUCCAACUAAAUCAACCCACCAUUAGUUAUUUCCAUGUGCACAGAGUUAGUUGCUACAAGGCAGAAUGUGAUUCUGAUGAUUAGAUGCCUAGAUGUUGAUGCUUUAAAUUAAGAUUCCUGGAUAUGCAUCUGAUGUACAGAGGUUAAUUAAAAAACUAUUGUGU